CAGGCUUGAUUUUAAGGCUUUGGAUUAAGUAGUUGUUUAAGAUAAGUUAUCUCCCUUUGACCAUAGUUGUAGUUUGUGUACAGUCAGGUGUAUUGACCUUAGGUCAAUUUGUUCCCUCUAAAAGACUGUGUUCUGAUUGGUUUAGGCAUCAGUGAUCAAUAUCUCACUACCUGGAAAGCUUUGAUACUGUGUACAUGUAUUUGGUAGAGGUUGUUUUAAAUCAGUAAUAUAUUAGUUUUAAAGGAAUGGAAUUAUUAGUCAGAGACCAUUAACCUGAAUCACAGUGUGAUAGAGCAGAUGAGUUGUUGUGGUGCAGCUGGUGAUGUUUUCUAUAGCGGUGAUGCAUUUAAGUCCACAACUUGGAUGCUUAGUUUACCAACCAAUAAAUUGAUAAAGGUACUUAAGAGCUUGUUUCCUACACAUGGCCUCCAGAUGGACCUACUCCUCAACCCCCACUAGCAGUUAUACUUCCUUAUAAAGUACAAAGGGACUAUAAGUAAAACUAGCCAAGUGACAAAUGGCGCCCAACGUGAUAUUGUGUAUACAAGCCAUACACUAGUGAAGAACAUCAGCCAGCAACACUAGAUUAGUAGAUAUACACAUGAACGCUCAUUUAAAAACAGUGAUUCACGUGAAAAAUUUAUAUGGAUUUUUAUUGGUGUAAAUACGGUAAUCAGAUUUUUCAUUCUGAUACUUCUACAGAACUGGAUGUAAAAGUUAUGUUCUACUUCAGAACAUUUUUGUAAUUUAAAUACAAAUCCGAGGACAACUAGUAUUUACAGUGACGGUGAAAAGAGAGUUAAAUUUGAACAGUUAAUUUAUGAACAGUGACAGUGGAUUUAUUUAUAACAGUGUUGAACAGUGAAUUUAAUUUUUGGAUUUUAAGUGAAAAGUAUUUAUCACUUUUCAUAUUGAUGACGGGAAGAAAGUACAGUGGAGAACAGUGAUUUAGUUCCUAACACCAGGAGCUAAGUGUUAUUUUCAAAGCAA
rnacentral:lncRNA from 1 species